UCUCCGUAGGUGAACCUGCGGAGGGAUCAUUACCGAGUGAGCGCUCCGGCGCGACCUCCAACCCCAUGUUUUCCGACUCUGUUGCCUCGGGGGCGACCCUGCCGUUCGGCGCGGCGCCCCCGGAGGCUCAUCAAACACUGCAUCUUUGCGUCGGAGUCUUAAUGAAUUUAAACAAAACUUUUAACAACGGAUCUCUUGGUUCUGGCAUCGAUGAAGAACGCAGC
rnacentral:misc_RNA from 1 species